AGUGAACGCUGGCGGUAGGCCUAACACAUGCAAGUCGAACGGCAGCACAGUAAGAGCUUGCUCUUACGGGUGGCGAGUGGCGGACGGGUGAGGAAUACAUCGGAAUCUACUUUUUCGUGGGGGAUAACGUAGGGAAACUUACGCUAAUACCGCAUACGACCUACGGGUGAAAGCAGGGGAUCUUCGCACCUUGCGCGAUUGAAUGAGCCGAUGUCGGAUUAGCUAGUUGGCGGGGUACAGGCCCACCAAGGCGACGAUCCGUAGCUGGUCUGAGAGGAUGAUCAGCCACACUGGAACUGAGACACGGUCCAGACUCCUACGGGAGGCAGCAGUGGGGAAUAUUGGACAAUGGGCGCAAGCCUGAUCCAGCCAUACCGCGUGGGUGAAGAAGGCCUUCGGGUUGUAAAGCCCUUUUGUUGGGAAAGAAAAGCAGCAGGUUAAUACCCCGCUGUUCUGACGGUACCCAAAGAAUAAGCACCGGCUAACUUCGUG
rnacentral:rRNA from 1 species